rnacentral:rRNA from 1 species
AUAUUCAAGGAGGAAGUAUUUGAUUUACUUGAUGAUCAUGGGUCUGUUGCAAAAGUGGCAGCGCCUGCUAGAGUGCCUAUUCAGAUUCGACAAAACUGCAAAUGGAAGCAUUACACUUGCUGGCGUGAUGGAGGCUGAGGUCAAGUCAAAAGAAGAUAUGGGCCAUAUGGCCAUGCACUUGGCACGAGUAUCUUCGUCACGCGCAACUGAAAGUACAAACAUACAUAGCCAGGCAAGGGUGAUUGAGGAGUAAAUGCAAAGGUACAAAGAGUAACUGAUAAGUGUGUUUGAACAAUGACAGUUGUUCACAUUAGGCAUUUGCGUAGAUUUUUUUUGUUGGAAUCAAGUUCAAGACAUGUCUUUUGCUGAUUGUGCCAGCAGAGUUGCAAGAGUGGUGGACAUGCAACACAGGGAGGUGAAAGAAGGGAGGAUCAGGAAGGAUGGAGGGAGGUGACAAAGCUGGGAGAAAGGAGGGAGACACCAAGGAAGGUGGCAUGGGAAGAAAGUGAAGUUAUGGCCCAAGGCUAGAGUGUGAUCGUGUAAAAUUGUUACCUUUCCAUCAAUGCUCAGGUUCAUUGUCAUUUUUAAAGUCUGGCACUUGAAGAUCUACACAAUUGUUGUCGAGGAAGAUGAUAAACUCAAUGAGGAUGAUAAUUGGGGUUAUUGUGAAGCUCGAUGUUUGGUGGAGUACUCUCGCGGUAAAGAGGACAAGGCAUGCAAACAUGAGUAACUGAUAGGUUUGUGUAAUCACUUCCAUUUUUUCUAGGAACAUUGAAUAUAAUUGAUUUUGUAAAGAAAGCGGUAGAGAAGACUGUACUUUUGGACCUUCAGGUGAAGCGGGAAUUAUAUCAUUGUGAUAUCAAAUAAUUGUUCAUUGAUUGUUUGAAU